GAUUUAUAAUAACUUAGCAAAUCGCAAAGUGAAAACAGGCGAUAAAUCAUUCAAGUUUCUGACCUAUCAGCUUUCGACGGUAUGGUAUUGGCUUACCGUGGCAGUGACGGUUAACGGGGGAUUAGGGUUCGAUUCCGGAGAGGGAGCCUGAGAAACGGCUACCACAUCUAAGGAAGGCAGCAGGCGCGCAAAUUACCCAAUUCUAACAGUUUGAGAGAGGUAGUAACAAGAAAUAACAAUACAAGGCAGUUAAAAUGCUUUGUAAUUGGAAUGAUAGAAAUUUAAACCCUUUUUAAAGUAUCAAUUGGAGGGCAAGUCUGGUGCCAGCAGCCGCGGUAAUUCCAGCUCCAAUAGCGUAUAUUAAAAUUGUUGCAGUUAAAAAGCUCGUAGUUGAAGUUCUGCUGAAAGUAACCGGUCUGCUUUUAAUAAAAGUGGUAUCUUGGUAUGUAUUUAGCAAUGAUGUCCUUUGAAGUGUUUUUUACUUUAUUGUAAUAAAGCAUAUUCAGGACUUUUACUUUGAGAAAAUUAGAGUGUUUCUAGCAGGCUAACGCUUUUGAAUACUGCAGCAUGGAUA
rnacentral:rRNA from 1 species